CUCGUAGGCGGCCAACUAAGUCGGAUGUGAAAUCCCCAGGCUCAACUUGGGAACUGCAUCCGAUACUGGAUGGCUUGAAUUCGGGAGAGGGAUGCAGAAUUCCAGGUGUAGCGGUGAAAUGCGUAGAUAUCUGGAGGAAUACCGGUGGCGAAGGCGGCAUCCUGGACCGACAUUGACGCUGAGGAGCGAAAGCUAGGGGAGCGAAACG
rnacentral:rRNA from 1 species